GACGAGCUGUGCAAACGUUAUUCGGAAUCACUGGGCUUAAAGAGUUCGUAGGCGGCGCGUUAGGUGGGGUGUGAAAUCCCUCGGCUCAACCGAGGAAUGGCGCUCCAAACCGGCGUGCUUGAGGAAGGUAGAGGUGAGCGGAACUGAUGGUGGAGCGGUGAAAUGCGUUGAUAUCAUCAGGAACACCGGAGGCGAAGGCGGCUCACUGGGCCUUUUCUGACGCUGAGGAACGAAAGCUAGGGUAGCGAAC
rnacentral:rRNA from 1 species